UCCAGGGUAGCCUAGUGGACAUGGCAUCUGCCCGGUAAGCGGAACACUGUGGGUUCGAUUCCCAUCCCUGGUCAU